rnacentral:tRNA from 1 species
AAUUAAGAAAUCAUUAGAUGAUGAACUGUAAAUUCAUAUUAGAUUUACACCUUUAACUU